rnacentral:rRNA from 1 species
GCCCUUACGACCAGGGCUACACACGUGCUACAAUGGCAUAUACAAAGAGAAGCGACCUCGCGAGAGCAAGCGGACCUCAUAAAGUAUGUCGUAGUCCGGAUUGGAGUCUGCAACUCGACUCCAUGAAGUCGGAAUCGCUAGUAAUCGUAGAUCAGAAUGCUACGGUGAAUACGUUCCCGGGCCUUGUACACACCGCCCGUCACACCAUGGGAGUGGGUUGCAAAA